rnacentral:rRNA from 1 species
AGUGAUCCGGUGGUCCCGAAUGGAAGGGUCAUCGCUCAACGGAUAAAAGGUACUCCGGGGAGAACAGGCUAAUUCCUCCCAAGAGAUCAUAUCGACGGAGGAGUUUGGCACCUCGAUGUCGGCUCAUCACAUCCUGGGGCUGAAGUAGGUCCCAAGGGUAUUGCUGUUCGCCAUUUAAAGUGGUACGCGCGCUGGGUUCAGAACGUCGUGAGACAGUUCGGUCCCUAUCUGCCGUGGGCGGUAGAGCUUUGAGACGAGUUGCUCCUAGUUCGCGAGG